rnacentral:lncRNA from 1 species
UCCCGCUAAUAUGUUUAACCCCGCCACAUUAUUUAUGAAUAUGCCUGUCCCAAGUCAGGAGCCUGUAAUUCAGUGGUUGUCGUUUGUUUAUGUGUGACAUAUUUGUUUUUCGUUCAUUCUUUUAUAUAAAUAAGACCGUUAAUUUUCUCGUUUGAAUUGUUUUACAUUGUCAUAUCGGAGCCUUUUAUAGCUGACUAUGCG